rnacentral:rRNA from 1 species
UACAGAGGGGGCAAGCGUUGUUCGGAAUUACUGGGCGUAAAGGGCGCGUAGGCGGCCCGCUAAGUCGAACGUGAAAUCCCCGAGCUCAACUCGAGAACUGCGUCCGAUACUGGUGGGCUUGAAUCCGGGAGAGGGAUGCGGAAUUCCAGGUGUAGCGGUGAAAUGCGUAGAUAUCUGGAGGAACACCGGUGGCGAAGGCGGCAUCCUGGACCGGCAUUGACGCUGAGGCGCGAAAGCUAGGGGAGCAAACGGG